rnacentral:rRNA from 1 species
UACGGGAGGCAGCAGUGGGGAAUAUUGCGCAAUGGGGGAAACCCUGACGCAGCAACGCCGCGUGAAUGAAGAAGGCCUUAGGGUUGUAAAGUUCUGUCAUAUGGGAAGAUAAUGACGGUACCAUAUGAGGAAGCCACGGCUAACUACGUGCCAGCAGCCGCGGUAAUACGUAGGUGGCAAGCGUUGUCCGGAUUUACUGGGCGUAAAGGAUGCGUAGGCGGAUUGUUAAGUGAGAUGUGAAAUACCCGGGCUCAACUUGGGUGCUGCAUUCCAAACUGGAUAUCUAGAGUGCAGGAGAGGAAAGCGGAAUUCCUAGUGUAGCGGUGAAAUGCGUAGAGAUUAGGAAGAACACCAGUGGCGAAGGCGGCUUUCUGGACUGUAACUGACGCUGAGGCAUGAAAGCGUGGGGAGCAAACAGGAUUAGAUACCCUGGUAGUC